UACGUAGGGGGCAAGCGUUGUCCGGAAUCAUUGGGCGUAAAGCGCGUGUAGGCGACUCAGUAAGUCCGCUCUGAAAGCCCGGGGCUUAACCCCGGGAGGCGGGUGGAUACUGCUGAGCUUGAGUCCGGAAGAGGCGGAGUGGAAUUCCCGGUGUAGCGGUGAAAUGCGCAGAUAUCGGGAGGAACACCAAUGGCGAAGGCAGCUCGCUGGGACGUGACUGACGCUGAGACGCGAAAGCGUGGGGAGCAAACAGGG
rnacentral:rRNA from 1 species